GACGAACGCUGGCGGCGUGCUUAACACAUGCAAGUCGAACGGAAAGGCCCUGCUCUUGUUGGGUGCUCGAGUGGCGAACGGGUGAGUAACACGUGAGUAACCUGCCCUUGACUUUGUGAUAACUUCAGGAAACUGGGGCUAAUACCGGAUAGGAGCUCCUGCUGCGUGGUGGGGGUUGGAAAGUUUCGGCGGUGGGGGAUGGACUCGCGGCUUACCAGCUUGUUGGUGGGGUAGUGGCUUACCAAGGCUUUGACGGGUAGCCGGCCUGGGAGGGGGACCGGCCACAUGGGGACUGAGGUACGGCCCAGACUCCUACGGGAGGCAGCGGGGGGGAAUAUUGCACAAUGGGCGGAAGCCUGAUGCAGCAACGCCGCGUGCGGGAUGACGGCCUUCGGGUGGUAAACCGCUUUCGCCUGUGACGAAGCGUGAGUGACGGUAAUGGGUAAAGAAGCACCGGCUAACUACGUG
rnacentral:rRNA from 1 species